GAUGAACGCUGGCGGCGUGCCUAAUACAUGCAAGUCGAGCGAACGGACGAGAAGCUUGCUUCUCUGAUGUUAGCGGCGGACGGGUGAGUAACACGUGGAUAACCUACCUAUAAGACUGGGAUAACUUCGGGAAACCGGAGCUAAUACCGGAUAAUAUUUUGAACCGCAUGGUUCAAAAGUGAAAGACGGUCUUGCUGUCACUUAUAGAUGGAUCCGCGCUGCAUUAGCUAGUUGGUAAGGUAACGGCUUACCAAGGCAACGAUGCAUAGCCGACCUGAGAGGGUGAUCGGCCAAACUGGAACUGAGACACGGUCCAGACUCCCAAGGGAGGCAGCAGUAGGGAAUCUUCCGCAAUGGGCGGAAGCCUGACGGAGCAACGCCGGGUGAGUGAUGAAGGUCUUCGGAUCGUAAAACUCUGUUAAUAGGGAAGAACAUAUGUGUAAGUAACUGUGCACAUCUUGACGGUACCUAAACAGAAAGCCACGGCUAACUACGUG
rnacentral:rRNA from 1 species